CAGCCGUAAACUAUGCGCGUUAGGUGUAUCGGUGACCACGAGUUACCGAGGUGCCGAAGGGAAACCGUGAAACGUGCCGCCUGGGAAGUACGGUCGCAAGGCUGAACUUAAAGGAAUUGGCGGGGGGAGCACCACAACGGGUGGAGCCUGCGGUUUAAUUGGACUCAACGCCGGGAAGCUCACCGGAUAAGACAGCGGAAUGAUUGCCGGGCUGAAGACUCUGCAUGACUAGCUGAGAGGAGGUGCAUGGCGUAGACGUCU
rnacentral:rRNA from 1 species